AUUGAACGCUGGCGGCAUGCCUUACACAUGCAAGUCGAACGGUAGAGGGGGCAACCCCUUGAGAGUGGCGAACGGGUGAGUAAUGCAUCGGAACGUGCCCAGUUGUGGGGGAUAACACUUCGAAAGAAGUGCUAAUACCGCAUACGACCUGAGGGUGAAAGCGGGGGACUCGCAAGAGCCUCGCGCAAUUGGAGCGGCCGAUGUCAGAUUAGGUAGUUGGGGGGGUAAAGGCCUACCAAGCCGACGAUCUGUAGCUGGUCUGAGAGGGCGACCAGCCACACGGGGACUGGGACACGGCCCAGACUCCUACGGGAGGCAGCAGUGGGGAAUUUUGGACAAUGGACGCAAGUCUGAUCCAGCCAUGCCGCGUGCAGGAAGAAGGCCUUCGGGUUGUAAACUGCUUUUGUCAGGGAAGAAAUCCUUUGGGUUAAUACCUCGGGGGGAUGACGGUACCUGAAGAAUAAGCACCGGCUAACUACGUGCCAGCAGCCGCAGUAACAC
rnacentral:rRNA from 1 species